GAAAAUAAUACCACCUUAAGCCAGCCAUUUAUCUGACAGGCAUAUUAUACUGGGUCAGCAAAAGGACUAGACCUACGCUUAGCCACAAGACUUCAUCCCCUACUUUGUGACUCAGAACGUCCUCAGCCUGUAUUCAGAGCAGCCUGGUUUCCAUGGCCUGCCAACUGCUUACUGAAACAGGCCCUCCACGCACUGGGCCUGCAACCAUGUUUCAAGGACAUUUAGAUGACUGAAAAUGCAGAUGAGUGCUGUCUGGGACACAACCAGUUAAAGGCUCUGAGAGAUCCUUGGCUUUAGGACGCAAUUUGUUUUGCAACAUAGAAACAGCGUGGCCAGCAGGAGCAAGGCAGUGACCGUCUGUACUCCCACUGUACUUGGCACUGGUGAGGCCGCACCUCACAUUCUGUGUUCACUUCUGGGCCCCUACAAAAGGGACAUUGAGGUGCUGGAGCUUGUCCAGAGAGGGGCAAGGGUGAAGGGUCUGGACCCCAGGUCUGAUGAGGAGCAGCUCAAGGAGCUGAGGGUGCUUAACCUUGAGAAAAGGAGAUUCAGGGGGAUCUUAUUGCUUUCUACAACUACUUUAAAACAGGAUGUAGCGAGGUAGGGCCAGUCUCCUCUUCCAGGUAACAACAGGAAAUAGCCUCAAGUUGUGCCAGGAGAGUUUUAGAUUGGAUACUACGAAAAAUUUAGUAAUGGAAAGGGUUGUUAAGCUUUGGAACAAGUUGCUCAGGAAAGUGGUGGAGUGACCAUUCCAGGAGGUAUUUAAGAGACAUGUAGAUGUGGCACUUGGGAGCAUGGUUUAGUGGUGGAUGGCAGUGCUGGGUUAAUGGGUUAAUGAUCCUAAGGGCUUUUACAACCUAAAUGAUUCUAUCAUUUUAUGAUUCUAAAGCUCUUCUAGGUGUAUGUCUGAAUCCUCUCUGGCUUAUCUGCUUUUUUUUCCCUGCUCCUGGUCUAAGUUGGAAAGAAAGAAAAAACAGUACUCACUGGCUGAAAGUGUUCGCAUUGACUUCCCGUUGUUGAAGGAAUGGGUGAAAUGCACAAUUAAUGCAGACAGCUGUUCCCUGACCUUUGCAGACAUUCAUCUGUUAUUACAGCCUUUCUCACUGUCAGCCUUGAAGGGUUGAGGAUGCUCCUGACUACUCCCCACAACUCCUGAUGGAUCCUUGCAGGGUCUCAGUGAGGGAGGCUCAUAAUCCACAAUUUGGGAAAAAUACUUUAAUAAAUACAUAUAAAUGACACAUAUGCAGUGACUUUACUAUAGAAAUGGAGACCAAAGUAGCACAGCAGUCCCCCCACACUUCAACAUAAUCCAGAAAAUGCCAGAUAUAUCAGAUUUUUUGCAUUUUGGACUUAGUAGUAAAUUCAAAUAUCAAGGCCAAAUUCUUCUUUCACACCUCAAUAAUUCAGAAAUAACAUGAGACAGAAACUUACCACUGAACCUCAGAUGAAACUUAUAUCUGAAUUGCUACAACUUUCAAUUUAAAAGAAAAUAUUUUAAUUAUGAUACAAUGCAGUGGGAAUUAAAGAAGCUUACAUUACUGUUUACUUUACAUGGUGCCCAGUUCUUUUCUUUUUUCUUUUUUAAUUCCAAGGCAAAUCUCCCAUUGACUUCAUUAUGAGCACAGUGUGAUAUGCCUCAGCUAACAUGGGAAAGUGCAACAGAUCCAUGUGGUAGAUAUUAAGAUACAGCACUUAAACAAGGAUAAAAACUAAUUCAAUGAUCACACAGAGGUAAAGCAGGACCGCUUCCAGAUAAGUCAGAGAUACUUGUCUGGUAAAAAGUCAGUGCAACUCUGUGUAUUCCUUUAAAAAGAGAACUGAUUGCCAUUAUUCUACACUCACUAAUCUGCGGCUUAUCAUAACUUUAGGCCACUGAUCAGACUAAUCUGAUGCAAAACACAGACCUCCAUGUCCAAUGGCAGGACACAAACCAGCUGGGGUCCAAAAGCCAUUUGGACAUCCUAGUUUGCAUCAGCACCUACAGCAACAAACCCUGACUCUUGGUGGCCUUGCUGCCACAGGCCAAGUCCUGGAAUAGAAGGGCACAUGAUUUCAGUGCUCUGAAACUAUUCCGUGAUGGUUAGUCUGGAACUUUCAAGAUUCUUGUAGUAUGCUUACCAGAACCAAGCUCAUAUAAGUCUUCCUAACUAUGCAAAGGACCUGAUGUAUGUGUUCAUUACAAUUUUGAAGCCAUUCAGCAAGAAAAGUCUUACAAAUGUGAGAAACAUUUGGUCAACAUGAAUGUCUGUAAACCAAAAUCUACAAGAGUCAGAGUCUCCAGCAGAUGGGAUACAGCAGUGACAAAAUGAUUUAAAAGUCAAAGAUCUAUUUUCAAAGAGACAGGUGCUUAAAUAUCAUUAGAAGUCAAAUGGAAAUAAACUUGUGAGUCCAAUUUAAAAAUGGUUUUUCAGUCUGUGUGAAAGCAUUGCACACUCAUCCUUGAGAACAUAUUUUAUUGUCAAUUUAGUGAAUCCAACCUCUGAAUUUUGGUCUGGACAUGUUCUCAUAUAAACAGAGGAGAGCAAACUCUGCCUCCUGUGGGAAUUGGUGCUGAAAUCUUAUGUUUUGGACUAUGCAGGUAUUCAAAGCAGAUAACACAGUGUUACAUUCUGGCCUGAAGGUAUUGAACAGGUCUUUCACUCAUAUGAAUAGGGAGAGUUUCUCUGCAAUAUGGAGUAGGAGAGGCCUGGCACUAUUGCAAUACAAGACCCAUAUAUCUCUCGUCAGUUCAGGGUUUGUGGGAGGAGAAGGAGGUUUUGAGCUCUCCUCACUCCUCCUGAAGACUGAUGACACUCCUCCUGAAGAUCAAAGCACAAAAACUUUCACCAGCUAUACUACAGAGCUCUACCUUCCUAUGGUCUGUGUCUUCCCCUGAAGCAGCAUGGACUGCAAAUGGGGCUGCUUGGAAGAGACACAUCCUGUGUAAGAAGGGACAUGUGGCAAUCUUCUGCCACCACCCCACUAGGUGGAAUUAAAUCCCCAUUGACUACAGGUUUGUUCACUGCUCUGCCAGUUCCCACCCAUGGCCAUGAAAAGACACGCAUCUCUCAGCCACUGCUGUCUGUGCUGCAUGGGGAGGAGCUGGAGGGAAAUGGUUACCAGAAUGGUACCAGAGCAGGUGCACUGUGAUUGCGUUUGUUUUAAUUUCCUGGGAAGACAGUGUUCAGCCUUAGGGAGGCACUGAGAAGAAUGGACAACUCCUAUGUUUGUCAUAGGAACACAAAGAACAAAAAAAGCAGAAACAUUUUGAGACAUGGAACAAAUAAUGCUUCAUUUCAAAAAGACUUGUGUCUUGUUGAUGAUCUCUCUAUGUCUUCACUGACUAACAAAGGACGACGCAUUUUGGGUUAUUCUUCUAUUUACACCUUACUCUCUGAACGACCCAGAAGUCCUGGAGGUGACAAUUUUCCUAAUUUGGAACUUGCCUCUCCUGCACUAGAAGAGAUCAGAGGAGACAAUGUGGAUGUUUAUUGGUGUACUACUUUCACUACUUGACCUGAAGUUGGGCACAGCCUUCAACCCUCCCAAACUGGAGUUUGUUCCAACUUGAUCUCUACUACAUUUACUUCUUUAACUUGACAUCAAUGCCUGACUGUUGGGAGCUUACUUCGGAUGUGUUAGUGGUCCUGUAAUGCUCAGACUGAAGGCACUAAAACACAAAUUAUUACGUUUCCUUUGUUUGCAUCCUACAUUCAUGUGAGAAAGGAGUUGAAAAAAAUUGCGUGAAUUUUGGCAUUUCCCCCUUCCCUCACAGUAGCACCAGCCCUUGAAUUCUCCUCACCCCUUCACAAUCCCAAGAUGGAAAUUUCGAUGCUGAAGUACCCAAAAACCUUCUCUCAUGCUUCAACCAGCAACAUCAUUAAGCCUUUUUCAGGAAUGGUCAAUCCCUUACGUCUUUCACACCCUGCUGUCAUGCGCCAACAUGAUUGACGCUCCUGGGAAUGAUCUGCCCACUCCUCCUAAAUGCGGUCUUGGGCUGUCGGUGCUGCAGACAUGCAGACAGGAGGAACACAGACCCUUGAAGAGUGUCAGAUGGCCAUCUGCCAGCCAAGGCACAAUAUGGUGGCUGCUGCCAAGCCAGCUGGGUCCUCGCUCUUCCAGCUGGUACAAAAGUUGCCAGGCAGCCUCCACUCCAAGAAUUUUAAAGCAUUUGGGGCUAUAAUCUAUGCCAUGUGUUUCUCUGUUUUUACUACAUAGUAGAAAAUAAUUUAUUCAGAUAUGCUAAAUUAUACUUUUAAUGUUUCACAAACAGUUCAUUGUGAAAUUCAGUCUUGGCAUUAACUAGAAAAUGCGGUACUUUGCUCCUUGUGUAUAUUAUUAUAAUGGUUCUUUUUUGUUUAAUCUAAAUAUUGUAGCUCAUUUAUCUUCUUGGAUGUCACAACCAGCUCUAGACUGCAUAGUUCUGCUGCUGCCUACCAGUUAAAUGAUUAUUACUUACACAUUUUAUAAAUAAUUAGUCAAUAACAAAUUUUUUCUGUAUGGCAUCUACACCAUUUUGUCCAAUAGAAUCCCUUAUAUUCUUUCAUUUUUAGUGCAUAUUGAGAACCUCUAGCAUGUUGAUAAUUGUUUUUCUAAACAAGAAGGGCUGAAAAAAGGUUAUUCUGAGUAAUUCAGUCUCAGUCACUUUUUGAAAGAAUGGAAAAUGGCCCCUUUUUCAUAAAUGAGACAUUGUCAGCAAAUUAAAAAUGGGAAUAGAGCCCAGGACAUUUAGUUUGAGAUUCAGAGAUCUCUACUGCUUGAGCUCAAAGAGAAUGUUCUGACGUUAGCACUGGUAUGGAGCUCCUAAGUUUUCCUUAGUCCAUAAUAAGAUACAAGAUGAUAAAUACAUAUGUCAAUACAUGCCUUUAUUUCUAAGCCUUUCCUUGAAGAAAAAAAACUGCUUCAAUUUGCAGAGAUUCAAAAGGUAUUGGCAUCACUUUAAUUUCCCUCUGCAUCUUUAAGUUACACUUUAUUCUCCAUGGCUUUUUUGUGCAAGUUCAGAAAACAAAAGUGAGCAAGUGCAGUUUUGUUUUCUGUUGUGGACUGUUUUCCAGGAAUUCUUUUCCUCCAUUAGAUCUACCAUGUGAGUACCUAAGAAUCUGUAUUUCUUCUUUCUGAAAAAAAAAAAAAAAAAAAAAAAAAAAAAAAAAAAAAAAAAAAAAAAAAAAAAAAAACCUUUAACUUUCUUGUCCUUUUCUACCGUAUAGGUCACAUUCUCCAAUCAUUCCACAACAGAAAUAAGUCUCACGAAUGUCCACACAGUCACAAAUAAAUAACUUCAGAAAAGCUAUGUAAUCUAGACCUCAGUGGAAUAUGAUUUCCAAACUCCUUUUAAAACAAGAAAAACAAAUUCUGAUUUUAUCUUUUCUGUCAUUUUAUUUUAAUUGCUAUUUAUCACAUUCUUUAUACUGGCUUCCAAAUGCCUCACCCUUUUUUUAUCAGGGGGCAAUUCCUAGAGACGUGUGAAAUGUUUCAUUUGAACUACAAAAGCCUGGAAACAGACUUGCUGUGAAUUCAUCCUGCAUUUGCAAAUUGUCAGCGAAUUGUUAAACUCUUGUGUCUGCUGUCACUGAGCAGGUGUUGCUGGCUCUUAUCCUUGGGGACUUCCACAGCUGUUGUUCAGGGGCAUUUCCAGGGAAAAUGAGGUUCACCACUUAAGAGGCCACUCACAGUCUUUUGUGGUUUUCGGACACCUGUGCCUUGUGCUGGAAGAGGAAUCUCAUGCAAAUCUUUGUGAUUCACCAUGAAACUUAAAUGUGUCACCUUUCCUUGUAGCUUAAACAGUACCCAGAGAUACGUUAAUCCCCAGCCUCCUGGGAUCUGUGUAUACAAGUAUCUGAGGCCUCAUAAUUGCAAAGUUACUUCAAAACAAAAGUAAUUUUGGAACCACUAAAGGUGAGGGUCCAUAACAAAGUGUGACCUGAAGAUCCAAGCAUACAUUCUCCUCUGCAGGUACAGGGAUAUCAGCCCAGCAGAUAUCCCAGACUGGGGGCAAUAGCAUCUGAAACCACCACAGCAGGACUUGGCCACCAACACUUCAGAAGAGACCUUGCCCCUGCAAUUAAGCUGGGUAGGUGUACAGAAGUGGAGGGCAACAGGACAAACUAAUUGUGUCUCUUGAUAAUGUGGGAAAAUAUGUAGAAGAAUACUUGAUUUCUUUUAAAGGCUCGUGAGCCAUCAGACCUGAUCACAGUAGUGGUCACCAUCCGAUAGCAAUAAGCUGAGGCAGCAGCUAUGCUGCUGCCUGCAUUAUUCAGGUGAUCUGCCUGGACAGCCUCAGCAAUUCUUGGAAUUUAAUACUUAUUAAUCACUUGAAAUAAUCAAAAUGCUCUAAUAUUAUAACACAGUAAAAUAAAAUCAUAUUAUCAUUGUAAUUUUUACCAUAGUCUGUGCUUAAAACUGCUAAGCCAUCUGUUCAGACAUCUGAGAGAUUUGACAAAUGAGCUCCAGCAAAUCUUGCUGAGGCAGUUGAAAGGGAUACCUCAGUCAGGGUAGGAGUCAACCACAGAUCAAAAUGUCUGGAUUUCUAAAUCAAAGCAUCCAAGCUCCCAUUGUCAUCAGCAGAGAAGAAAGGCUUAAUUCAGUUGCUUAGACACAAGCACCAGAUGCCAUUUGAGAAGUCCUAAGGGUACCUACCUCACCUCUGGCUGCCUUCCUGAAGAGCACGAGUAUCUCAGGCUCUGGGUGGUACCUGUUGGUCUUUGAGCUCUAUCUGUGACCUUGUGGUUGUUUCCAGUAUCCUGGGCGUCUCAAAUCCUGAUACCCAUAUGUGAACAUCUGAAUAAAGUCCAGCCAACACACUAGAGAGCCCGGAGAGUAGUUUGGAAGAAUUAAGCAGAUUUACUGACAAAGCUAUGACACGAGAAGGAGAUGGGACACACGGCGACAGCAACUCCUCUGACCAGAGCAAGUGUCAUCAGGGAGCCACAUGUCCUUUCUCCACCUCUCCCCCUAGUAAUCCUAAAGUGUUAUAUUUGAGUUUAAUGCUUCUUAAGUUAGUUUAGCUAGAGCACAAGAAGCCACAGCUCUGAAGAGACACUAUAAAUCGUGAAUGGAUUAGUGGCAUCCCCUCUGGAGCUGUAGCUUAUAUCUCCCAAUGGGCUAGUUAACUUGUGUGCAAGAAUAUUACCACAUUGAAUGGAAGAGCUUUGUUUGUGGAUGGAAUUCAAAUUAAGAGAAAUACAUAGGUUAUUUUUGCAGCAAAGACAAGUCCUUAAUAUAUAAAAGAUGAUUUCAUUUUAAUUUAGAUUAAAAAAUGCUUCAAUGAAAGAAGUUAGUUCUCUUUUUAGGUAAAAUUCACAUAAGCUUUUAAUUGCCACUCUCUAAACAUCAAUAGUUUAGUUAUUGUUUACUAUUCACUUACUCUUCUCAAUACCAGCUUCAUAGCUGGUAAAUUCAAGCAGCUGUUUCUGUUUGAGAAACAUGCCACUGAAAAUGACUACAGAUCAGAGAAUUUCUUUAGAAUGUGCAUUUGCUUUAAAAGGAUUUACAUUGUGCUUUUACACUGAGCUACAUUUGGAUUCUUGUUCUGGAAGUGUUUUAUUUCAGAUUUUGUGCUGAUGCACUAUGGAUACUCAAGGAUUUUUUAAACAUGCAGAUCAGAAUUCAGUUAUCCCUCAUAUGUCUGCAGACUUUCUGUCUUUGAGAGUAAAGAAUGUCCACAGGUGUAAGGAAACACAGGUUCUAAACACAGCAAUUCAUGUACUUUACAGUGAAAUCACAGUCCUGAUCUGACAUACAUGCGGGAAACUGCAUCCUAACAGUCCAGUCAUUUUGAUUAAGACCUGAUCUCGCAAAACUUAUGGACACUUUUUUCCUAAGUCCAUUUCCCAUAACUACUUCAAAACUUUAUUUCAGAAAUACCUGUGAGUUUCUCUUACAUCAAGGCUGCAGUGAUAAAGUGACCAUGCUGUGGUUUUUAUUAAAUGCUAAGAUGUGACAUUUUAUUUAUAGCCUUCUGACCCAGUAAAAGAUUCAUGCAAACACUGGGCUGCUUGAUAUAGAAAAAACUUGCUGUACAUUUGAGCUGUACCAUUAUUAAAAGCAUUUCUCUAGACAUUCCCUUUCCUUCUUGGACCAUUCUUGGCAUUUCUGGAACAUUUAUGAAUAUUUAUGAAGACAUUUACUUGUAUAUUAAAUGAAGUCUGUGAGUAAGUCAUCAAUAUAUGUGAAAAUAGUUGCCUUUGUGAAAACUUUGUUAACCUCUCCACACAGUUGCCUUUGAGGGCCUGGAAAGUUUGAGCACAGCUUGUAGAGCACAUCCUAUAGAAUGUAUAUAAUACUGCAAUCAGCACAACCGCAGUGCAGCAGAUUGAGUAACCAUCUGAAGAAACUCAAGCAGUACUGUGCUUUAGUCUACUCCAGAAAGCUGUUUUGUAAGAGCUUUGCAGAUGUCUUCUCAGUUACCAGACCUGUGCUAAAUCAGCCUCUGAACAGACUUAUACCAGUUAGUAGAUGACUCUUCUUUUGAUUAAGUAAUAGAUCUUAAUAAAUUCAAGGCUACAUGGAGAAAAUACACUGAUUUAUUGGUCCAAUUCAGCUUACCCUGAAAGCAAAAGGAGUUUCACAUUUGACUUCAAAGGAAGCAAAGCUGGACCUUAAAACUAUAAACAGUAUAAUAAACACUAGUAAAACAUAAUACUUACUAAAGCAGCAUGAAUCCCACUUCCAAAAAGUACACUUUUACUUGCUUUUGUACCAUUUGUGCAACUCAAUACUAAUGAAAAUGAAGGGGCUGGUCACCUGAGUACUGUGAGAGCCAAAUAAUCUAUCAGAAAUAAUACUAUGAAACAUAUUUGCAUUAAGUGCUGAUAGAAUUAACCUGAAUUCCAAAUAAAUCAAUAAAACUGUCAUAUCUCUGCUCAGUUGCAAACUGAGGAAAAGCAGAAUUCACCACGUUUCUCAAUAAAAUGCAAGAAUGCAUAUUCAGUUCUAAUAUUGACAUACCCUACAAAGCCAUACAUACAUUUACAGAUUGUGUAAAAUUGACAUUAAUAUCAAUAGAAGUGGAAAUAGGCCAAGAUUUCUUUGUUGCACUGAAUAUUUCACAAAGUGCCUAUUAACAAUAGCUCACUUAGCUUUUCUAAGUGGUUUCACAACAUGACCAUUUUUUCUUUUUCUUGACUUAGUAUUCUUCGUUGUUUAUGAUUGGUGCAGCAUAGAUCAGUGGGAGUCUAUCAUAGCAAAGACUAAAUGAAGCCUAAGUUGAAGGUGUCCUGAUGUAGCUCUGUAGGAGCCAAAUCACAUUCCUCUUUUUAAAACCACUGGAGACAGAUCUCACAUCUUCACAAUGCACUUUCCCAGUGAAGUCUGGUGAAUCAACACCAUUCUUUUGCUGUUUACAAGGAAAUUGAGCAAAGGAAAAUGAUUUUCAAUGUCAGCCUCCAGCCAGCUGUACUGUCAGACAGUGAAGCAUGAUGCUAAGUGCAGAACAGCAGCUUGUCUGAUAGACGAUUUAUCCAGAUGUCACACAUCCUUAGCCCUGGGAGAGAGCUAAGUCAUCUUGGAGGUAAUCUAGGAGGAAGCUGAAGAUAAGGAAAUGUUGAAAGUAGAGGUGAGUAAUGUAUUCAUUAGUGGCAACAGUACAAAGAAGACAAUCUGAUUAGAAACAACUGAUGAGAUACCUGAGAAGCAAGAGGUGAGAAAUAAAGAGAGGGUUCCAUGAGAAACACAAAAGAAAUUGCUGAGGCAGACCAAAAUGGGCUCUUUUCUGCCAGAUCCCACAUGUAACGCUGAGAAAAAGAAGUUAAAGGAUAAGAAAAUUUUGAAAUCAGGGAUAUGGGGUUGAAUUACAUUUUCCUUUGGUCAGCAUUCACUUACCCAUUAGGAGAGCAGAUCAGCUGAAGGAGAAAUGCACACCACCUAGAUCAUGUGCCUGAGGCUUUUACUGUCUGAGCACUUAAAUCCAGAGGACAAAUACCAGCAAAAAGUACAGAUUCAUCAAAAACUAAAUACAAGUGCUGCCAAGGAGAUGGCCAAGAUCAGAGAGGUGGUCAUAGCUGUAGGGGGGUCAAUAGAUGAAUCUGAGAGAAAAGGGAUGAUGGUGUGGAUCAGUGGGAAGCAGCCAGAGGAAAGUUGAGAGGGGUAUGUGUGAAGGAGUAAGUGUAGAGAGGCAAGGGAGAGAAGCAUUGCUGGAGGCAGUAUGCAGCAGCCAAAGGGAUCAGGCCAGCUUCAGAUCCAUAAAGGAAUACUGUUCUGUAAAGAAAAGGACAAGAGCAAGAAUUGGAGCGUCAUGAUACAGGAGACUGGAAAGGAGAUCAAGGAAAGUAAGUGAACAGCAGGGAACUGGAAUAAUCAGUGAGUGUAGGGGAUGAGAUAAAGGUAAUAAAGCACCUAGAAAUAACAAACUUGACACACUGGUACAGUGGAAAGGAAGUAGUGAGGCCAGAAGGAUGAUAGAAAGAAGACCAAAGGCAGAUGAGAACCACUCUAUGGUAAAUGAAGGAAAGAAGAUGGUUCAGAGAGCAGAUACGAGAGCUAAAUGCUCUUACUGCAGAGUUUGAUCUUGGAGACAUGUAUGAGGACAGCAACAGUUACUAGCUGGAUUUUGAAGACUGGAAGCUGUUACAUGUACACAAAGGAGGGAAAGUAAAUGAGAUGUUGAUAAUCAGGGUAAAUUAAAUUCCUCAGAGAAGGAUUAAAAAAGAUGUGGAGAGUUGUAGUUAAGAAAAAAAAAUAAUAUGUGAGCCAAAGCAAACUACAGGUCAGGAAUAAA